rnacentral:rRNA from 1 species
AAUCAACGCUGGCGGCAUGCCUAACACAUGCAAGUCGAGCGGGAAAGGGGGCUUCGGUCCCUGAGUAUAGCGGCGGACGGGUGAGUAACACGUGGGUAAUUUGCCCUUGGGUGUGGAAUAACUCAGGGAAACUUGAGCUAAUACCGCAUGACAUCCCCUUCACACACGAGUUGGGGAUCAAAGCCGGGGACCCUUCGGGGCCUGGCGCCUGAGGAGAAGCCCGCGCCCGAUUAGCUAGUGGUGAGGUAAUGGCUCACCAAGGCUUCGAUCGGUAGCCGGCCUGAGAGGGCGGACGGCCACACUGGGACUGAGACACGGCCCAGACUCCUACGGGAGGCAGCAGUGGGGGAAUUUUUGUCAAUGGGGGAAACCCUGAACAAGCAACGCCGCGUGGAGGA